rnacentral:rRNA from 1 species
AUUGAACGCUGGCGGCAGGCCUAACACAUGCAAGUCGAACGAGUGGCGGACGGGUGAGUAAUGUCUGGGAAACUGCGCGAUGGAGGGGGAUAACUACUGGAAACGGUAGCUAAUAGCGCAUACCAUCGGAUGUGCCCAGAUGGGAUUAGCGAGUAGGUGGGGUAACGGCGCACCUAGGCGACGAUCCCUAGCUGGUCUGAGAGGAUUACCAGCCACACUGGAACUGAGACACGGUCCAGACUCCUACGGUGUGCAGCAGUGGGGAAUAUUGCACAAUGGGCGCAAGCCUGAUGCAGCAAUGCCGCGUGUGUGAAGAAGGCCUUCGGGUUGUAAAGCACUUGCAGCGGGGAGGCGUUACCCGCAGAAGAAGCACCGGCUAACUCCGUGCCAGCAGCCGCGGUAAUUC